AUUAGUAUUAUGAUAAUACCUUUGGUGAGCUGUUUUGCAUGUGUCGGUGGAUUGCCUAUUUAUAUCGGUAUCAGUUUGUGAGUUUGAGAAUGAUACAAAGAAAAGAAUUAGAGAUAGAGAGAGACGUAGUGUCAAGAUUUUAUGUGCACAGACACAGUGAUGAGGCCGAGAUUGUUAGAUGACAGAGAGGGCCAAAGAUUGGUGCUCAGAUGAAUUUUUAUUUUACAUGGUACAAGAAUCAAGGUUGCGAUUCUCAUCAUGCUUGGAUGGUUGGUGGACUUGAAGAUUUUUAUUUCUUGUAAAGGUUGGCUUGAAAAGUCAUUUGUAGCCUUAUAUUUCAAAAUAUGUAUAUUUAAAUUUAAACAUGUAAUGUGUACACGAGUACACUCUUUUCAAUGUAUUUGACAUGUAUGAGAUGAGGCCGGAGGCCAAUGACUUGUAUUUUGUAUCCUUUGUACUUUUUGACUCCAUGAAAUAUUAUGAAUAUAUUGAGAAAUGUUAAGUAA